GAUGAACGCUAGCGGCAGGCCUAAUACAUGCAAGUCGGACGGGAUUCAGGAGCUUGCUUCUGAUGAGAGUGGCGCACGGGUGCGUAACACGUAUGUAACCUACCUUUAUCAGGGGGAUAGCCUCUCGAAAGAGAGAUUAAGCCCGCAUAAAAUCACAGCACAGCAUUGUGUAAUGAUCAAAUAUUUAUAGGAUAAAGAUGGGGAUGCGGAACAUUAGCUAGAUGGCGGGGUAACGGCCCACCAUGGCGACGAAGCUUAGGGGAUCUGAGAGGAUGGCCCCCCAGACUGGUAACGAGGACCGGACCAGAACGGGACGGAGGGGAGGGGAAAGGAAGACUGGUGAAUGGGGGGAAGCCUAAACAAGCCAUGCGGGGGGAAGAAAGACUGCCAUAGGGGUUGUAAACUGCUUUUAUACGGGAAUAAACACAGAUACGUGUAUCUGGCUGAAUGUACUGUAAGAAUAAGGAUCGGCUAACUCCGUG
rnacentral:rRNA from 1 species